rnacentral:rRNA from 1 species
UACGUAGGGUCCGAGCGUUGUCCGGAAUUAUUGGGCGUAAAGGGCUCGUAGGCGGUCCGUCACGUCGGGAGUGAAAACUCGGAGCUCAACUCCGAGCCUGCUUCCGAUACGGGCAGACUAGAGGUAGGCAGGGGAGAGCGGAACUCCUGGUGUAGCGGUGGAAUGCGCAGAUAUCAGGAAGAACACCGGUGGCGAAGGCGGGUCUCUGGGCAGUAACUGACGCUGAGGCACGAAAGCGUGGGGAGCAAACAGG